rnacentral:tRNA from 1 species
GGAGGUAUAGCUCAAGUGGUAGAGCACACGCUUAGCAUACCCGAGAUCAUGCCCGAAGUUGUGGGUUCAAUCCCCAGUACCUCCU